UGUAAAUGAUAGCAUUUUAAAACGUACUUUAUGAAAAGCAAUUUACGUAAGAGAUAUUUAAAGCAGUUUUCAGCAUCAGACAUCAGUAAUUGUUGUGGAAACUGAAUUGUUUGAAGGUACGAAUAGUGUGUAUACUACAAUAGUACUUUAAUACCCAUAAUAUUUUACAGUUUGUUUAGUUUAAAUAUUAAUUUAGUAAAUGGCAGAAGCCUAUCCACCACCACCGGAAGAAGAAGAAUUCUUUAAGCCAGUUCCAGAGGGAGGAGCACAGAAAUACGGUGAACGUUGUCCAGUAUGCGCCGAUUGCACCGAUCUAGAAGAUAAAUUCGAUUGUGAUGUAUGCCCGGCGUGCAACGAAUUUUUUGAAACAGUAGUCAGAGGUUCAAGAGUUCUGAACUGUCAAUUCUUAGGAAGUUGUGAUGUGACUGUAGCCAGCGGUAAUAUCUGUCCCUUUUGUAAAAUGAGUAAAUGCUACUGUGUUGGGAUGAAUUCUUCAAAAGUCUCUCGUGAGAAACUUAAAAUUUUCAUUAAUAAUCCAUGUGAACGACCAGAUAUGCAAAUUAACUUCCCAUUCUAGUUUUUAAUGAAAUAAUUAUAAAAGGUAUCAUAUUUUAAAAACACGAAUUGCAUCUUGUUAACUUAAAAAUUAAAUUUUACAGUGGAUGCUGAUCAUUAUGAAUUCAGAAGGAGAAAAAUGUCCCCUCCUCCACCUCCUAUACCUCAACCAUUUCGGCUUAACUGGGAGAACACUCAAUUCCUAGAUUGUCUCAUUUACAUGGAGCAGCAUUACUAUCAAUGGCGAAAUAUUUCGAGAGAAUAUCAAAGACUAUCUGUAGAUGAC